CCUACGGGUGGCAGCAGUGAGGAAUAUUGGUCAAUGGGCGUAAGCCUGAACCAGCCACGUCGCGUGAGGGAUGAAGGUUCUAUGGAUCGUAAACCUCUUUUAUAAGGGCAUAAAGUGUGGGACGUGUCCUAUUUUGUAUGUACCUUAUGCAUAAGGAUCGGCUAACUCCGUGCCAGCAGCCGCGGUAAUACGGAGGAUCCGAGCGUUAUCCGGAUUUAUUGGGGUUAAAGGGUGCGUAGGCGGCCUUUUAAGUCAGCGGUGAAAGUCUGUGGCUCAACCAUAGAAUUGCCGUUGAAACUGGGGGGCUUGAGUAUGUUUGAGGCAGGCGGAAUGCGUGGUGUAGCGGUGAAAUGCUUAGAUAUCACGAAGAACCCCGAUUGCGAAGGCAGCCUGCCAAGCCAUGACUGACGCUGAUGCACGAAAGCGUGGGGAUCAAACAGGAUUAGAUACCCCUGUAGUC
rnacentral:rRNA from 1 species